CCAAAACCCUUCUUCAGCUAAAAAAACAUAAAAAUGGAGGAUUCAAGUGAAAAAAUCAACAAGCUGCCUACUGAAACUGACUUUGGUAGUCACUGUUGUUUAUGUUUACCAAUAAUUUGCAACUGGAAGUCCCUGGUGGAAGCUUUCAUGUCCAUUCUGAAGUUUUUAGGGUUUAAAAAACAACACAAACAUACUUCCUCCGCACCGUACCGGCCGCUCUCUUGCUCGCCGGAGCCUGCCUACACCGCCGCCUCAGAUCAUCCUCAGACCGAUACAUCGGUUCUGCAAGGAGAGUUCAGUAGACGUAUUCCUCCACCGCCACGAAGGAGCACCGGCGGGGGUGGCCAGAUAAACUAAUAAUAUAUUGUUAUCUCGGCGUGACUUCUUUCUGGAUCAAGUAAUUAUUGUCUGAUAUGUGAUAAGUAAAACUCACUAAUAUUUUUAGUUAAUAUAUAUUGUUGGAACGACUACUCUCCUAUGGACAAAAAAUGAUAGACAACAAACGGUUACGAAUGCAAUCGUCAAAAAAUAGAACUUGUAAAAAAAACAUGUUUUACGUUGAGUCGUGGAUUUUGCUCUCUUAAAAA